UUGGAUAUCAAUCAAAUAUUUACUCUCCUUUAGCUUUGUGUUUACCCAACCAUGCAAAACAAUGCAGAAAAUCUCUCUUCAGCUGCUUCACCAGCUUGUGGCCAGCUGUCUGCCUGUCGUUUGGUGCCAAACAGUUCCAGUGCCGGGGGAGACUGCAGGCCACAUACGGUGCCUGAACUGUGCCAAAAAGGGAAAAAAGAUGGAGAAGGGAUUAAGUCACCAAUCCACAUACUUGCACGAUGGCCUACAUCUCCGUUUCUCCAUUUAUUCUGAGCUCCUCAUCGGUGAGCCAGGGGGUUAUGAAUUGGGGAGCAGUACAAGAGGUAGCUGCUACAUUCAUGAAUCAGCAGGUGAUGGAUGGAGAGGGGAAAAGCACUCAAAGGCUGGAGGAAUGAUGGACACAUGAAGAGAAAAGCGAGACAGGAGUCGAGAGGAAGACGGCAGAGCGUUAGGAGGGAGACAAAGGGAAGGAAUGGAGCGGCGGGAUGUGAGAGAAAAUAAAGCAAGGCUGAAGAUGGAAAAGGAGAGGGAGAAUAAUAGAACAGCGAGAAGUCAAGAAGGGGUGUUGCGGCAAGCUGGGAGCGCAGUUUGCAUGGCUCCACUCUAUGGGGGACUUUAAUUACUUUUCAGCGUCACUGCUUCUCCUGGUCAUGAGCUACAUGCUCCGAUCACCAGCCUCUGAUUAUCAAGCCUUUGUGAGGGCCUCCACCCGCUGUCAGGCUGUAAUUACGUUUGCGCUGGAGAGCGUCUCAGCAUGUCAGAAAGCUUACAAAGCCAUUAUCCAAGUGCUCUCUUUUUCUGCUGGCGUGAACUCCUCUGUGCCGAGGAACUCAAAGGUGAAGGCCUUUACAUACAUCGAGUGUGUUAAAUGUUAUUUGCAGAUUUUUCUUUUCUUUUUUUUAAGGGGAAUUACUUCAGUUUCCAUCUGUUAGCACAGGGUUAAGGUUAAAGAAAGUAAGUUUUCAAGGCUAACUUUGAAAGAGUAGAGUAAAAAUGGGAACUGAUUGCGAGAAUAAGUGAGAUGAUUCAUAAUGAGACUGCAUCGUUGUGAAACUCUUAACUAUGCUCAGUCACUCUUCUAACAAAGGGAACUGCUGCCUCACACAACCACCUUUCUUCACUGUGUAGUUUAAA